AGCUCCAAUAGCGUAUAUUAAAGUUGUUGCGGUUAAAAAGCUCGUAGUUGGAUUUCUGUUGAGGAUGAGCGGUCCACACUAUGUGUGAGUAUCUGUUACAGCCUCGGCAUCCUCCUAGGGAUCUGUAUGUGAUUCAUUUCGUGUGCAGGGAUCUAGGACUUUUACUUUGAGGAAAUUGGAGUGUUCACGGCAAGCAAUCGCUUUGAACAUAUUAGCAUGGAAUAAUAAUAUAGGACCUUGGUACUAUUUUGUUGGUUUCUAGAACUAAGGUAAUGAUUAAUAGGGAUAAUUGGGGGCAUUCGUAUUAACGCGUCAGAGGUGGAAUUCUUGGAUUGCGUUACGACGAACUACUGCGAAAGCAUUUGCCAAGGAUGUUUUCA
rnacentral:rRNA from 1 species